AUGAAGCAAAUUGUGGUUGCUCUUGAUGCGAUGCAGAGAUCGAGGAAGUUUUCAGAGGGGAAGAAGUUGGGUAAUUCUCUGAGUUUUGCAGAAAAUGAUAGUGUAUUUUGGAUCUGUGAAGAGAAACUUGUUUAUGUAGAGCUGAAAGUUUGUUACAGUGCAGGGCAAGACUCAGUGGGCAGUAACUUGUAUAGAUUGCAUUUGCUUUGUGUAUGA